GAUGAACGCUGGCGGCGUGCCUAAUACAUGCAAGUCGAGCGAACGGACGAGAAGCUUGCUUCUCUGAUGUUAGCGGCGGACGGGUGAGUAACACGUGUAUAACCCACUUAUAAGACUGGGAAAACUUCGGGACACCGGCGCUAAUACCGGAUAAUCUUUUGCACCGCAUGGUUCAAUAGUAAAAUACGGCCUUGCUGUCACUUAUCGCUGGAUCCGCGCUGCAUUAGCUAGUUGUUAAGGUAACGGCUUAUCACGGCAACGAUGCAUAGCCGACGUGCUGGGGUGGUAGGCCACACUGGAAGUGAGACACGGUCCAGACUCCUGCGAGAGGCAGCAGUAGGGAAUCUUCGGCAGUGGGCGAAAGCCUGGCGGAGCAACGCCGCGUGAGUGAUGAAGGUCUUCGGAUCGGAAAACUCUGUUAUUAGGGAAGAACAGAUGUGUAAGUAACUGUGCACAGCUUGACGGUACCUAAUCAGAAAGCCACGGCUAACUACGUG
rnacentral:rRNA from 1 species